UAAAUGCAUUACUGUAAACAUUUAUUAUUUAAGCUGCUUUCAUGGGGCUAGAGCUUAAAAGGGUUAAUAUAUAAACCUCCCUCCAGCACCAUAUCAAGACCAUCUCACUAUUAGGAGCACUUUGUAAAUUCCUUUCAAUUUAGAGAUCUAAGACUGUGUUUUCAGGUUACAUGUAAAGUGCCUUGAAGAAGGAUUGCAGAGAAGACGGACUGCUGUAUUACCUGCAGACACCCCGAUAAGCGAGGCUCUCGCCUGCCAGAGAUCAAUGUCAUGGAGGGAGGGAGGAAGCACCCCCUGGAGGCGGGUGUGGGAUCUGGAUGCAAAGUAUUGGCAAGGAGCCAGUUGGACUUUCGUGGGCAAAUUAAAGUGUCUGCAUUAUGGAGAAGACCACUUUGGAGAAGAUCUCUUUUUGUCCUUUGAGGAACGAGAUACUCUGUGGCCAUUGAAGGUCAGCACUAUAAUGGUAUUGUGGACAUAAUUGAUCUACCUUCUAAACAGUGUGGGACAUUUUGAAACCCUCCAGUGGUACUAAACUAUACUGUUUACUUUCCUGAAUACUUACUGUGUGGAUAUUAAAUUAUAGCACCCCUAGGAAAACCAUUGUUAUUUUAGGGGGUAUAAGUGUUCUUGUUGUUGACAUUUCUUCAUAAAAAAAAACAGCUCUUCUGUGUGUUUUUUUGUUUUUGUUUGACACAAUAAAGAACCGUUUUACGCACAUGUCUGUGUGGUUCCUGGAGUGGUCUGGUGGUCAGUCUGAGAUCCAAACAACAUGUGGAGUAUAGAAGAGAAGGUUAUUAUAAAAAUAUAUAUUUACAUGUAAAGUCAUCCAAACAUAACCCCUGACACACACACACAACUCAAUUCCGAUCACAGUAGAACAUACUUGAAAUCAGUGACUGUAUCUUCAACUU